rnacentral:snoRNA from 1 species
AAGACCACACUUUCAGGAUCAUUUCUGUCGUCCGUUACUAGAGGUUUCUCUGAUCAUGUACAGUGCUAGAAACCACAAGGAGGAGACUUAAUGUUUCACUGAGUAUCAAGCUGGCUGUAGCUGCUACCAUGUUGCAACUGAUGAUUGUUCUCCCUUGGAGGAAGAAGAGGGUCUGAGUGGU